CGGGAUGUAGCGCAGCUUGGUAGCGCACCUCGUUCGGGACGAGGGAGUCGCAGGUUCAAAUCCUGUCAUCCCGA
rfam:Crinalium epipsammum PCC 9333, complete genome.